AAACCUCUCCCGCGGUGUCGUGUCGUGUCGUGUCGUGUCGUCCGUCGUUGUCGUCGUGUCGUGUCGUGUCGUGUCGUGUCGUUGGCGCGCGCGCGCGCGCGCCCUUACGAGAGAAAGAGAGAGAUAGCAGCACGGCCGGUGUGACAAGGACAAGUACACAACGUUGUUAGAGAGAGAGAGAGAGAAGAGAAAAGGAGGCUGAGAGAGAAAAAGAAAGAAAAAAAGAAAGAAAGAGAGAAAAAGAUAGAAAGACCGUGGAAUCGGCCGCGUUUUCAUCGAAGAAGUCUCUCGAGAAAACGAACGUGAGAAAUUACGUUUGAUAAAGAGAGAGAGAGAGAGAGAGAGAGAGAGAGAGAGAGAGAGAGAGAGAGAGAGAGAAAUAGAAAACGAAGAAAAUAAAGAGAGAGAGAGAGAGAACGACGAAUAGUCGCGUAGUAUCUUCUCGUAUAUAAAUAAAUAAAUAAAUAAAUAAAUACGUAGUAAUAUUUUUCAAAGACGUCCCGAGCCGCGUCUUUUCUCCUCUUCUCUCUUACGUUAUAUAGAGAUAUAUAGAUAUUAUCUUGUUGAUAGUGCGAAUUAAAGGAAAUAAUAGAAAAUCCGAGAAACAGGAUUAGCUUAGAGGAAGAAGAGCAUAGGAUAAUAAUAAUAAUAAUAAUAAUAAUAAUAAUAGUAGUAGUAAUAAUAGUAGUAGUAAUAAUAUUAAUAUAUAAUAGUAUCAUAAUAAUAAAUAGUGUCGUGCUUACACGUGUUUUGUACAGUGUUCAAGUGUUAACCAAUCGGCGCAGGAAGCGAAAGGAGAAACGCGACACACGGGAAGACGACAGUCGAUCAUCGUCGUUGUCGUUGUCGUUGUCGUCGUCGUCGUCGUCGUAAUCGUCGUAGUAAUCGUCGUGUUGUCGUCGUGUCGUCGUCGUCGUCUUAUUUCUUUGAUAUUAAAGAAGGAAAAUAAAAAGAAACAUCAACAACAAAAAACAAGGGACAGUGCAUUCGUGGACAGGAGUGGGGACUGCUCGAGAUUUCAUCCUGGAUACGUCGUUAUGUGGGUCUUCGAUAAUCGAAAAGGCAACGUCAUAAUUAUUACGAUACAUUGGUUCAUAUAUACCUCAAGCCAUCGGACGGGCGACAAUUGCUAUAGCGAACUUUGAUGAGAGGGAUUAUCGAUGCGCUCGCGAGCACGCGAAAUUCUAACCCUUCCGCAUGAGGAGGAGGCUACGAAGGGAAUCGGCGGUGGUGGAAGAGAAUCGUUUCGUGAUCGAUCGUCGAUCGCGAUAAUAGAAUCGUUUGCGUUCUUAUUUAAACGCUCGAGGACGUAGCCGUGCGUUUUAAUGCAACAAUAAUAACUUUCAACGAUAAUAGAAGAAAACAAUAUCUGGAUAGAAUUAAAGAAGAAGAAGAAAAAGAAGAAGAAGGAACAAAUAAGUAUCGUUAGAGAUCCUCGAAAAAGUUCUAGAAAAAAAGAGAGAGCGAGCAUCGACACUCGGAUCGAUACGAAACUUGGUGGUCUCGUCGGGUGUGCGUAUCGAUCGUCUGGUUGAAAGCAAGAAGAGAGAGAGAGAGAGAGAGAGAGAGAGAGAGAGAGAGAGAGAGAGA